rnacentral:rRNA from 1 species
GAUGAACGCUGGCGGCGUGCCUAAUACAUGCAAGUCGAGCGAACAGACGAGGAGCUUGCUCCUCUGACGUUAGCGGCGGACGGGUGAGUAACACGUGGAUAACCUACCUAUAAGACUGGGAUAACUUCGGGAAACCGGAGCUAAUACCGGAUAAUAUAUUGAACCGCAUGGUUCAAUAGUGAAAGACGGUUUUGCUGUCACUUAUAGAUGGAUCCGCGCCGCAUUAGCUAGUUGGUAAGGUAACGGCUUACCAAGGCGACGAUGCGUAGCCGACCUGAGAGGGGGAUCGGACACACGGGAACGGAGACACGGUCCAGACUCCUACGGGAGGCAGCAGUAGGGAAUCUUCCGCAAUGGGCGAAAGCCUGACGGAGCAACGCCGCGUGAGUGAUGAAGGUCUUCGGAGCGUAAAACUCUGUUAUUAGGGAAGAACAAAUGUGUAAGUAACUAUGCACGUCUUGACGGUACCUAAUCAGAAAGCCACGGCUAACUACGUG